rnacentral:tRNA from 1 species
GCAUUGGUGGUUCAGUGGUAGAAUUCUCAUCUUCCACGCGGGAGAUUCAGGUUUGAUUCCCAGCUAAUGCA